rnacentral:rRNA from 1 species
AACGAACGCUGGCGGCAUGCCUAACACAUGCAAGUCGAACGAACCCUUCGGGGUUAGUGGCGCACGGGUGCGUAACGCGUGGGAAUCUGCCCUUUGCUUCGGAAUAACUCAGGGAAACUUGUGCUAAUACCGGAUGAUGUCUUCGGACCAAAGAUUUAUCGGCAAGGGAUGAGCCCGCGUAGGAUUAGGUAGUUGGUGGGGUAAAGGCCUACCAAGCCGACGAUCCUUAGCUGGUCUGUGAGGAUGAUCAGCCACACUGGGACUGAGACACGGCCCAGACUCCGACGGGAGGCAGCAGUGGGGAAUAUUGGACAAUGGGCGCAAGCCUGAUCCAGCAAUGCCGCGUGAGUGAUGAAGGCCCUCGGGUCGUAAAGCUCUUUUACCAGGGAUGAUAAUGACAGUACCUGGAGAAUAAGCUCCGGCUAACUCCGUG